rnacentral:rRNA from 1 species
GGCUUAGAGUUUGAUCCUGGCUCAGAUUGAACGCUGGCGGCAUGCCUUACACAUGCAAGUCGAACGGUAACAGGUCUUCGGAUGCUGACGAGUGGCGAACGGGUGAGUAAUACAUCGGAACGUGCCCGAUCGUGGGGGAUAACGGAGCGAAAGCUUUGCUAAUACCGCAUACGAUCUACGGAUGAAAGCAGGGGACCGCAAGGCCUUGCGCGGACGGAGCGGCCGAUGGCAGAUUAGGUAGUUGGUGGGAUAAAAGCUUACCAAGCCGACGAUCUGUAGCUGGUCUGAGAGGACGACCAGCCACACUGGGACUGAGACACGGCCCAGACUCCUACGGGAGGCAGCAGUGGGGAAUUUUGGACAAUGGGCGCAAGCCUGAUCCAGCCAUGCCGCGUGCAGGAUGAAGGCCUUCGGGUUGUAAAAUGCUUUUGUACGGAACGAAAAGACUCUGGUUAAUA